UACGUAGGGGCGAGCGUUACCCGGAAUCACUGGGCGUAAAGGGAGCGUAGGUGGCCUGACAUGUCGACUGUGAAAACCCGGAGCUCAACUCCGGACUUGCAGUUGAAACUGCCAGGCUUGAGGACGGUAGAGGAAGACGGAACUGCCAGUGUAGGGGUAAAAUCCUUAGAUAUUGGCAGGAACGCCGGUGACGAAGGUGGUUUUCUGGGCCGGUUCUGACACUGAUGCUCGAAAGCCAGGGGAGCGAACGGGAUUAGAUACCCCGGUAGUCCCUGAGCGGGCUGGCAA
rnacentral:rRNA from 1 species